CGGGGCUACCCGCUGAGUUUAAGCAUAUCAAUAAGCGGAGGAGAAGAAACUUACGAGGAUUCCCCUAGUAACGGC
rnacentral:rRNA from 3 species